CUUGCACAGAUCUGAAUCUAGUCUUCUCAGAGUAAUGGUUUGGGACAGAUCAGUGCUUGGUAUGAGAGGGAAGAACUGUGCCUAGAGCCUGUCCUUUGCCAUCACUGCAGGUAGCUAACCAACUGGCAGGUCCUCCAGGGAAAAGAGGUAAGCGGGGCAGAAGAGGAGAGACUGGACCUCCUGUAAGUACAGUGAUACAUUGUUGGUUCUUCCAGAAUCAGGGAGAAAUCGAUGUUAGAUCCUGUUUUGUUACCACCACAAUAAACUGAUCGUGUAUCAACAGGAGGGAAUCUUGAUGUUUAUACUUACACAGCAUAACACUCGCUAAUUAUUUUGGAGCUGAAUAAUUUAGCCAGAAAGUUCCUUAAGAAAAUUAUAUCUAAAACUAUAAAGCUUUACAUUCAGCACUCCAGAUAGCAGUUUGGAUCGCAAUUCCGUGUAAGUACAUUAUAUUCAUUUUGCUUAUGACUUGGUAACAAAAACUUUACUACAGUAUAAAAAUAAGUGAGUAUGCUAUCUUAAGUCUAGACUCUGCCUUUUACUGGGUAGUAGCUUGCUCUGCCAUUGUCGCAAAUCCUUGGGGUCAAAACUCCUUGUUCUUUGGAAGUAUAUGGGCUGUCCAGAUCAUUGCGGCGUAAUUGCUACUAAAGCCAGUAAGUACUUGUGUGAAAUGAAUAGAAAAUAAGACUGUUCAGUUUAGUAUUUGGUUGAAUCUCAUGC
rnacentral:lncRNA from 1 species